AAAGAAGCAGGAAAAAAAAAUGAAUAGAAACAGGCUAACAGAAGAGGGACCAGGAGAGGAAAAGGGACACUGAUCACCUCAUGAAGAUAGGUUUGGCCAGACUCAGAAAACUGCUCAGAGAAGCUCGUACUGAAAGUCACUGGAAAUUGGCACACCACAGCUGGAAAGAAGCUCG